rnacentral:rRNA from 1 species
CCGAGGAAAAGAAAUCAACCGAGAUUCCCCCAGUAGCGGCGAGCGAACGGGGAGCAGCCCAGAGCCUGAAUCAGUGUGUGUGUUAGUGGAAGCGUCUGGAAAGGCGCGCGAUACAGGGUGACAGCCCCGUACACAAAAAUGCACAUGCUGUGAGCUCGAUGAGUAGGGCGGGACACGUGGUAUCCUGUCUGAAUAUGGGGGGACCAUCCUCCAAGGCUAAAUACUCCUGACUGACCGAUAGUGAACCAGUACCGUGAGGGAAAGGCGAAAAGAACCCCGGCGAGGGGAGUGAAAAAGAACCUGAAACCGUGUACGUACAAGCAGUGGGAGCACGCUUAGGCGUGUGACUGCGUACCUUUUGUAUAAUGGGUCAGCGACUUAUAUUCUGUAGCAAGGUUAACCGAAUAGGGGAGCCGAAGGGAAACCGAGUCUUAACUGGGCGUUAAGUUGCAGGGUAUAGACCCGAAACCCGGUGAUCUAGCCAUGGGCAGGUUGAAGGUUGGGUAACACUAACUGGAGGACCGAACCGACUAAUGUUGAAAAAUUAGCGGAUGACUUGUGGCUGGGGGUGAAAGGCCAAUCAAACCGGGAGAUAGCUGGUUCUCCCCGAAAGCUAUUUAGGUAGCGCCUCGUGAAUUCAUCUCCGGGGGUAGAGCACUGUUUCGGCAAGGGGGUCAUCCCGACUUACCAACCCGAUGCAAACUGCGAAUACCGGAGAAUGUUAUCACGGGAGACACACGGCGGGUGCUAACGUCCGUCGUGAAGAGGGAAACAACCCAGACCGCCAGCUAAGGUCCCAAAGUCAUGGUUAAGUGGGAAACGAUGUGGGAAGGCCCAGACAGCCAGGAUGUUGGCUUAGAAGCAGCCAUCAUUUAAAGAAAGCGUAAUAGCUCACUGGUCGAGUCGGCCUGCGCGGAAGAUGUAACGGGGCUAAACCAUG